GAGUAGUUGGCGCAGUGUGUAAAAUCUCGGCUUGCAAAGUCGAAGGUCCCGGGUUCGAUUCCCGGAUUCCUUC
rnacentral:tRNA from 1 species